rnacentral:tRNA from 1 species
UAAACUUUAAGUUAAUAAAACUAUGGGUCUUCAAAACCCAAAAUAAGAAUAUUAAGUUUAA